rnacentral:rRNA from 1 species
GAGUUUGAUCCUGGCUCAGAGUGAACGCUGGCGGCAGGCCUAACACAUGCAAGUCGAACGGCAGCGCAGCAGUAGCAAUACUGUGGGCGGCGAGUGGCGGACGGGUGAGGAAUACAUCGGAAUCUACCUUGUCGUGGGGGAUAACGUAGGGAAACUUACGCUAAUACCGCAUACGACCUACGGGUGAAAGCGGCGGACCGCAAGGCGUCGCGCGAUUGGAUGAGCCGAUGUCCGAUUAGCUAGUUGGCGGGGUAAGAGCCCACCAAGGCGACGAUCGGUAGCUGGUCUGAGAGGAUGAUCAGCCACACUGGAACUGAGACACGGUCCAGACUCCUACGGGAGGCAGCAGUGGGGAAUAUUGGACAAUGGGCGCAAGCCUGAUCCAGCCAUGCCGCGUGUGUGAAGAAGGCCUCGGUUGUAAG